AUUGAAGAAAAAGUGUGGGAUUUCAAGGGAUUAAGAUAAUGAAGGAUUAAAAGUGAUUGGACUUAAUUUUGGAAAGUAAGUUGUUAAAAGCCCAGUAUCUGUUUGCAUAUACUUCAGUAUUUUAGCCAUAUCUGGAGCUACAGAAUUUCAAAUGAUGCGAUUCUUAGACCAGUGGAAAGCUAAGAGACAGAGGUACAACUUUUAUGAAUAUUACUUUGCCCAGUUCUGCAUCAAAGAUAGAGAAAAUUGCUUCUGAAAAUGGAUAGACGUACUGUGCCGGGAAUAGAAAUUUGUAAAGAUUGACAAUGGAAUUUUGGGACUCUUGUAUACUUUUAAGCCCAAUUAAACCCUAGGUCAGCUUAAGGUACUUUAGGUUAAGUUUAUUAGUAUAAAUAGGAUAUGUUUAACAACAUUGAGACAACCUUUGAGAGAUUCAAGAAACUAGAAGUUGAGGUUGAAACUAGGAGAUCAAGUCGGCAAUAAUUGUUUUGUGUUCCUCCUUAGCUUUUAAUUUUUUUGUUACUUUCAAUGGUUAAAUUUAUUAUAAUGUUAUUUGUUUUUGCAA